rnacentral:misc_RNA from 1 species
AAGUCGUAACAAGGUUUCCGUAGGUGAACCUGCGGAAGGAUCAUUAACAAAUAAUCCGAUGGAUUAAAAAUCCAUACCAACCACUGUGAAACGUUUACUGUGAUUCCCUGUAGCGUGUUGUUGGCGGUAGCGGUUGUCUACCGUCCCCGAGACAGGGCUUAAUUUUAUAAACUUUAUGAUUGUGUUUGUCUUAUUUAAUUGUGCUUGAAAAAGCCAAAAAAAUGUAAACAAAAACAACUUUCAACAACGGAUCUCUUGGCUCCCA